UACGUAGGGGGCUAGCGUUGUCCGGAUUUAUUGGGCGUAAAGAGCGUGUAGGCGCCAGGUAGGUCUGCUGUGAAAACUCGAGGCUCAACCUCGAGACGUCGGCGGAAACCAUCUGGCUAGAGUCCGGAAGAGGAGAGUGGAAUUCCUGGUGUAGCGGUGAAAUGCGCAGAUAUCAGGAAGAACACCCGUGGCGAAGGCGGCUCUCUGGGACGGUACUGACGCUGAGACGCGAAAGCGUGGGGAGCGAACAGG
rnacentral:rRNA from 1 species